GGUUAAGCGACUAAGCGUACACGGUGGAUGCCCUGGCAGUCAGAGGCGAUGAAGGACGUGCUAAUCUGCGAUAAGCGUCGGUGAGGUGAUAUGAACCGUUAUAACCGGCGAUUUCCGAAUGGGGAAACCCAGUGUGUUUCGACACACUAUCAUUAACUGAAUCCAUAGGUUAAUGAGGCGAACCGGGGGAACUGAAACAUCUAAGUACCCCGAGGAAAAGAAAUCAACCGAGAUUCCCCCAGUAGCGGCGAGCGAACGGGGAGGAGCCCAGAGCCUGAAUCAGUGUGUGUGUUAGUGGAAGCGUCUGGAAAGGCGCGCGAUACAGGGUGACAGCCCCGUACACAAAAAUGCACAUGCUGUGAGCUCGAUGAGUAGGGCGGGACACGUGGUAUCCUGUCUGAAUAUGGGGGGACCAUCCUCCAAGGCUAAAUACUCCUGACUGACCGAUAGUGAACCAGUACCGUGAGGGAAAGGCGAAAAGAACCCCGGCGAGGGGAGUGAAAAAGAACCUGAAACCGUGUACGUACAAGCAGUGGGAGCCUCUUAAUGGGGUGACUGCGUACCUUUUGUAUAAUGGGUCAGCGACUUAUAUUCUGUAGCAAGGUUAACCGAAUAGGGGAGCCGAAGGGAAACCGAGUCUUAACUGGGCGUUAAGUUGCAGGGUAUAGACCCGAAACCCGGUGAUCUAGCCAUGGGCAGGUUGAAGGUUGGGUAACACUAACUGGAGGACCGAACCGACUAAUGUUGAAAAAUUAGCGGAUGACUUGUGGCUGGGGGUGAAAGGCCAAUCAAACCGGGAGAUAGCUGGUUCUCCCCGAAAGCUAUUUAGGUAGCGCCUCGUGAAUUCAUCUCCGGGGGUAGAGCACUGUUUCGGCAAGGGGGUCAUCCCGACUUACCAACCCGAUGCAAACUGCGAAUACCGGAGAAUGUUAUCACGGGAGACACACGGCGGGUGCUAACGUCCGUCGUGAAGAGGGAAACAACCCAGACCGCCAGCUAAGGUCCCAAAGUCAUGGUUAAGUGGGAAACGAUGUGGGAAGGCCCAGACAGCCAGGAUGUUGGCUUAGAAGCAGCCAUCAUUUAAAGAAAGCGUAAUAGCUCACUGGUCGAGUCGGCCUGCGCGGAAGAUGUAACGGGGCUAAACCAUGCACCGAAGCUGCGGCAGCGACACUAUGUGUUGUUGGGUAGGGGAGCGUUCUGUAAGCCUGUGAAGGUGGCCUGUGAGGGUUGCUGGAGGUAUCAGAAGUGCGAAUGCUGACAUAAGUAACGAUAAAGCGGGUGAAAAGCCCGCUCGCCGGAAGACCAAGGGUUCCUGUCCAACGUUAAUCGGGGCAGGGUGAGUCGACCCCUAAGGCGAGGCCGAAAGGCGUAGUCGAUGGGAAACAGGUUAAUAUUCCUGUACUUGGUGUUACUGCGAAGGGGGGACGGAGAAGGCUAUGUUGGCCGGGCGACGGUUGUCCCGGUUUAAGCGUGUAGGCUGGUUUUCCAGGCAAAUCCGGAAAACCAAGGCUGAGGCGUGAUGACGAGGCACUACGGUGCUGAAGCGACAAAUGCCCUGCUUCCAGGAAAAGCCUCUAAGCAUCAGGUAACAUCAAAUCGUACCCCAAACCGACACAGGUGGUCAGGUAGAGAAUACCAAGGCGCUUGAGAGAACUCGGGUGAAGGAACUAGGCAAAAUGGUGCCGUAACUUCGGGAGAAGGCACGCUGAUAUGUAGGUGAAGCGACUUGCUCGUGGAGCUGAAAUCAGUCGAAGAUACCAGCUGGCUGCAACUGUUUAUUAAAAACACAGCACUGUGCAAACACGAAAGUGGACGUAUACGGUGUGACGCCUGCCCGGUGCCGGAAGGUUAAUUGAUGGGGUUAGCGGUAACGCGAAGCUCUUGAUCGAAGCCCCGGUAAACGGCGGCCGUAACUAUAACGGUCCUAAGGUAGCGAAAUUCCUUGUCGGGUAAGUUCCGACCUGCACGAAUGGCGUAAUGAUGGCCAGGCUGUCUCCACCCGAGACUCAGUGAAAUUGAACUCGCUGUGAAGAUGCAGUGUACCCGCGGCAAGACGGAAAGACCCCGUGAACCUUUACUAUAGCUUGACACUGAACAUUGAGCCUUGAUGUGUAGGAUAGGUGGGAGGCUUUGAAGUGUGGACGCCAGUCUGCAUGGAGCCGACCUUGAAAUACCACCCUUUAAUGUUUGAUGUUCUAACGUUGGCCCGUAAUCCGGGUUGCGGACAGUGUCUGGUGGGUAGUUUGACUGGGGCGGUCUCCUCCUAAAGAGUAACGGAGGAGCACGAAGGUUGGCUAAUCCUGGUCGGACAUCAGGAGGUUAGUGCAAUGGCAUAAGCCAGCUUGACUGCGAGCGUGACGGCGCGAGCAGGUGCGAAAGCAGGUCAUAGUGAUCCGGUGGUUCUGAAUGGAAGGGCCAUCGCUCAACGGAUAAAAGGUACUCCGGGGAUAACAGGCUGAUACCGCCCAAGAGUUCAUAUCGACGGCGGUGUUUGGCACCUCGAUGUCGGCUCAUCACAUCCUGGGGCUGAAGUAGGUCCCAAGGGUAUGGCUGUUCGCCAUUUAAAGUGGUACGCGAGCUGGGUUUAGAACGUCGUGAGACAGUUCGGUCCCUAUCUGCCGUGGGCGCUGGAGAACUGAGGGGGGCUGCUCCUAGUACGAGAGGACCGGAGUGGACGCAUCACUGGUGUUCGGGUUGUCAUGCCAAUGGCACUGCCCGGUAGCUAAAUGCGGAAGAGAUAAGUGCUGAAAGCAUCUAAGCACGAAACUUGCCCCGAGAUGAGUUCUCCCUGAGACUUAGAGUCUCCUGAAGGAACGUUGAAGACGACGACGUUGAUAGGCCGGGUGUGUAAGCGCAGCGAUGCGUUGAGCUAACCGGUACUAAUGAACCGUGAGGCUUAACCUU
rnacentral:rRNA from 1 species